rnacentral:misc_RNA from 1 species
UUGAAUUCGAGACAAUCUGGACCCCAAACGCGCUCCAUUCGACCCAUUGCAUAUUGGUGAUAUGUUACUCUUGCGCCUUUGGUUACAAAUGUACCAUCAGGCAAUAUAUCAUCUUCCUUGGCAAACUUAGAAUCAAAUUGAACAGAUGGAUAUAAUCUUAAACUCUCGUAUAUUGCAGCAUUUAGAUAAUGCGUGCCCCGCAAUUGUUCAUAGCUGGUAAGCUCCUGACUCGGCCUUAUGACUCGUUCAGACUCAUCUCGAAUGGCUGAUUCAACUUCUGGGUGCUGUGACAGCAGCCAGAAGAAACUGGUUAGCCCUGAGGCAACCGUGUCACGACCUGCCAAGAGAAAGCUGACGACAAUAUCACGAAGAUAUUUAUCAUCAUUGAUGGAUCCCAUGAAUCUUGAUAAAAGAUCUUUGUUAUCGGCAAAGCCAACUUUUCUCCGAUGAUUGAUCAACCCUUCCGCGAGUUCAUUCACCAUCUUUAUAGCCUCUUUGAGUUUCUUUUCCGAGCCUAAAUUUAGUAACCUUUUGAUCUUCCAAACAAUUGGUGAUGCUGCUAGUGCUCUCUCUGCAGAUAACUUUGAUGCAGUAUCAAAAGCAAGAGCGAA